UAACACCUAACUAGACAAUCACACUCGCAAUCCUUAUCUCUUUUACCAAUAAAUUUUCUAAGUUAUACAAUAAAUCGAAAGGCUCAACACAAUUAGAGGGGAAAACACAUGCAGCUUCCUCUUGUUCCUCUAAUAACACUCCAAAUUCCAGUAAUUGAGAUACAAAAAAUCGAUAAAUCCAAAUUCAUUUUCCACCGUUAUUAAGACACCAUCAAGCUCCACAAAAAUUCCAUAAAAAUCAACCAAAAACUCCGUAUCUAGCCAUGGAAAUAAGCUAAAAACACCAUUUUCGUCACUAAAAUCAGCCUAAAAAAGAGCCACUUUCCUCUUCCACAAAUGACCAUGAAACCCGUCUGAAACUAACACCAAACACUAGCCAAAUAACACUCCAAACCCAGCAAAUCACCCCCAUAAUCCACCUCAAAAAACCUUAAAAAGACUUUAAAAUUCAGCUCAAAAUUGACCCAAAACACUUCUACGGAGAGGUUCACGGUCGUUGAUUUUCAAAAGAAAUGAAGGCAGCCUUUAUAUUAAGUUAAAUUUUUAGAUCUGAAAUUGUAAAUUUACUAGAUAUAUAUUCUUAUUAUUUAAGAAAAAUUUCUUUGCUAAAGGUCAAUAUUUCUCUUCUCUUUCUUUAUUUAUCUUUGCAUCUACAAUAGUUUUCUAUGCCUG
rnacentral:lncRNA from 1 species